rnacentral:rRNA from 1 species
UACGUAGGCAGCAAGCGUUGUUCGGAGUUACUGGGCGUAAAGGGUGCGUAGACGGCUUUUUAAGUUUGGUGUGAAAUCUCCCGGCUCAACUGGGAGGGUGCGCCGAAUACUGAGAGGCUAGAGUGUGGGAGAGGAAAGUGGAAUUCCUGGUGUAGCGGUGAAAUGCGUAGAUAUCAGGAGGAACACCGGUGGUGUAAACGGCUUUCUGGACCAUAACUGACGCUGAGGCACGAAAGCGUGGGUAGCAAACAGG